AUCUUGAGAAUUAGUUCUCUCUUUUUUUCUUUUUUUAAAUCAAGGAUUGGUCCUUGAUUUCUCCUUAUUCUUAGUUUUUUCCUUUUGUUCUACAUCAAUUUUGAUAUCAUAGCCUAAAUUCAAUCCAAAUUCCAUACCUUCCUGAAAUUUUUUCAAACAUCCCAUUCAAACAUUCUUGUGUUUUAGCCUUUGAAAUUUCUGCCUUUGUUCGUCCUACCAAAAUUUCCACUUAAACCAUCCAAAACUUUUGCUGCCUUUUACUAUUUAGGAAAAAAAAAAUUUGAAAACUAGGACCAUAGCCCCUUAGCAAGCUACAAUCUUCUGGCCUCCCAACCACCGUACCGCCACUGCCAGAACAUAAGCGACGUCCAAGCAACUUCUCCCCUAUAGUUGGAGCUCUUGUCCAAUGUUCCCAGCUGCUAGAUCCAAUUGGGUUGGACCCAACCCAAGCCUGGACCUGCAAGAUCUUUGGCAAAAAAAAAAAAAUCCUUCCUUGAUGUUCACAUUCCGUCGAUCUUCACUUUUCCAUCGAUCUUCACUUUUCCAUCAUCUGAGAGUCCAACCGACACACCCAGGCCUCAAAAUCCGAUGGGUUGGGUUUGACCCAAAUCCAAAUUUGGCAAGAUUUUGACGUCUCAUCUCCGCCUGGAACUUCCCCUUUUGCUAGCGACCUUGUUUAUGCCAUCUGACUGUUCAUCCGAUUCCUCCAGUUGUAAAACCUGACGGGUUGGGUCAAAUUUGCCCAAACUAAGUUGUACUCACCAAGUCUUUCUAUGCUCCUAUUUACACUAGAUUUUUGCCAUAUCAACAAAAUUUGACAGUGAAGCUUGAAUUUUUUGGAGGUAUGUUUUCUUCAUUCAAAUACCAUGGAAACUUAUAUUGAGAGGUUAGAAGAGGAGAUCAAUUACUACA
rnacentral:misc_RNA from 1 species